rnacentral:rRNA from 1 species
UACGAAGGGUGCUAGCGUUGUUCGGAAUCACUGGGCGUAAAGCGCGCGUAGGCGGCUUUACAAGUCAGGGGUGAAAUCCCAGAGCUUAACUCUGGAAUUGCCUUUGAAACUGUAAAGCUAGAGUAUUGGAGGGGAUAGCGGAAUUCCUAAUGUAGAGGUGAAAUUCGUAGAUAUUAGGAGGAACACCGGUGGCGAAGGCGGCUAUCUGGACAAUAACUGACGCUCUGGCGCGAAAGCGUGGGGAUCAAACAGG